rnacentral:tRNA from 1 species
GCCUCCGUAGCUCAGUGGAUAGAGCGUCUGCCUUCUAAGCAGCGGGUCGCAGGUUCGAAUCCUGCCGGGGGCGCCA